rnacentral:rRNA from 1 species
CGAGGAAUUUUCGACAAUGGAGCGAAUGCUCUGAUCGAGCAACGCCGCGUGAGGGAAGAAGCGUUUCGGCGUGUAAACCUCUUUUGAGUGGGAAGAUGAUGACGGUACCACUCGAAUAAGCCCCGGCUAACUACGUGCCAGCAGCCGCGGUAAUACGUAGGGGCAAGCGUUGUCCGGAUUUAUUGGGCGUAAAGAGCGCGCAGGCGGUCCAAUAAGUCACUCGUGAAAUCCCUCGGCUCAACCGAGGAAAGUCGGGUGAUACUGUUGGACUAGAGGGCGGAAGAGGAAAGUGGAAUUCCCGGUGUAGUGGUGAAAUGCGUAGAUAUCGGGAGGAACACCAGUGGCGAAGGCGGCUUUCUGGUCCGCAACUGACGCUGAGGCGCGAAGGCUAGGGGAGCGAACGGGAUUAGAUACCCCGGUAGUCCUAGCAGUAAACGAUGGACACUCGGUGUCGGGGGUGUUGACCCCCUCGGUGCCCAAGCUAACGCAUUAAGUGUCCCGCCUGGGGAGUACGGUCGCAAGACUAAAACUC